GGGAGGGGAGGUGGGUGCGCGGUGGGGUUGCGACCUGAGGCGGCGGGGACAGGUCAG
ensembl:misc_RNA